rnacentral:rRNA from 1 species
UACAGAGGUGCCGAGCGUUAGGCGGAAUCACUGGGCUUAAAGCGUGUGUAGGCGGACUUCUAAGUCCCUUGUGAAAUCCCACGGCUCACCCGUGGAACUGCUGGGUAUACUGGUCGUCUUGAGCCAUCUAGGGGCCAGCGGAACAAAUGGUGGAGCGGUGAAAUGCGUAGAUAUCAUUUGGAACGCCAACGGUGAAAACAGCUGGCUGGGGGUGUGCUGACGCUGAGACACGAAAGCCAGGGGAGCGAACGGG